GCCUCUUACCGAGGAAGCCCGGGCAGCCUGCCUCGCAUGUCUGGGCUCCAGGCACUGCUGGAGGCUGAGGCCAGUGACCACAUGAUGGGCUUGUGGUGUGUGAAGAGCUAUCCAGCCCAGCCAGCCAGGUCAUGGCAGGGAGACUCGUAUGACUAGAGAGAGAGAGACCUGCCAGCUGUGAGCUUCUGACAUGGAGACCAAAGCCCUGGAAAUUAAAAAAGAAAAAUGUAUCAAGUGACCUAAGGUGAACUCAGACCCGAGCCCAGAUCAGGAUGAUGGUGUCAGCCAUUGCUCCAGCUCAAGCAUGCCACUACACUUCUCACCAUGAUGACACUGGACUGAGCCUCUAAAACUAUAGAGAAGCUGAACUACAGGAGAGGCAGUGAAUAUGCUCCCGAGACUUGGCCUGAGUCAUGCAGAGUCAUCCUACCACACAAGAAGAGGCUGGGGUGUCACCCAGUUGGCUGCUGUCUCGGAUAGGACACGCUGAGCUGUGAUGGGGCUGUCAGUAUCUCGUAUCAUAUCUUGUGGCGUGUUCCUAGCCAACUCAGGUCAUGCCGUGUAUGGAGGUCAGAGGAAAACUUGAGGGAGUCUGCUCAUUUCUUACAUCAUUGGGUCCUGAAACUCCAGCUCAGCCCAUCAGCCUUGGUGGACCACGGAGGCGUCUGGAAAUUGAGCAGAGCCAGCCAGUCUCGGGUGAACAAUUGGCAGCCCCGACGCGGGGCUCCUCCGAGACAGCGGCAGACGCGGGGGUGGCGCGGGGGCCGAGCUGUGCGCGCUGGGGUUGCCAUGGCCCCGGCCCCGCUGCACGUGCCGCGGCUUCCCUGGGCGUUCCGGCGGUGGCCUCAAUGGGCGGGCGAGUGCUGAGCGUGGCUUGUCCGAGAAGGGCCCUGGAUCCGUGGCGGGGACCCUCGUCUCUUGGGUAGGCAACGACCUCCACCCAGCCCCGGUCACGCCUCGGAAGGCGCCAUGUCCCGGCCCGGCGCGUCGGAGCCCGACGCUCUCAAGGGUCCACUGCGACUGCCAGAGAGCAGGAGUUUGGGGCUAGACAGGGCGGGGACCAGGACCCCUGAGCCCUGCGCCCCUUACCGCAAAGGUCUGUGCAUGAGCGGGACAACUUACUGUUGGACAAGCAUGAUGACCUCAGGACACUUGCUCAACGAUGAGUUGGCAACGAGGAAGGCGUUGAGGUGUGGGGGUUGGGGGAGGGGGGGCAGAUAUCCCAAAAGCCAGCAAGUGUGACCUCAACUAUAGUCCUGUGCACCGAACUGGGUCUGUUCUAUAGGAUUUCUGGAAGCUGGCAUAUUAUUCUCCUGUCUCAAGAGGAUGGGAAGUGGAGUACUUGGCCCCUGUAAUCCUUUGUCCAGGGGUACACAGAGCCUACAGCUGGACCAAUUCUUUAGGUAUCGCUGAUGGGGAAACUGAGGCCUGGACGUGGUGAGGGGGGACUGAUUUAUUUGAGUCCUUACUGUAUUUAACAGCACACUUGGACUUUUGUCUCGAAUUGCUGUCUCCCCUUCUCCAACACUGUACAACCCACUUCGAAGGAAAUCAGAAGUGCCCGGAGGCUAAGGACACCCAGACCUUUGCCAAGACUAAAUUAGAAAAAAAAAAAAAUGUCUGAAAAGAAAAAAAAAAAAAAAAAAAACGAAAGGUUUCUAAUAAAAGCCAUCUUCUUGGGCCUGCUCACCCGCUGACACCCCCACUCACCUGCACAACCUUGCUUGACAUUUGCAACUUGGCAGCUCUGUACACACACACAAUGACACUUUCUUUGGCAUCUGGACGUAGAAAUGCCCAGAGACCUGAUGUGACCUCACUCCAGUAGGGCCCUUCUUCCUGUUCUCAGAAUAGCUGCCCUGUACCGGCUUGGGAGGCUCCUGUGGUAUCUCCUGACAGACCUAGUGUCUCUAAGAGGACCGGCUCCUAAGGCUCAUUUAUCUGGACUACAUUUAUGAGGGCCUUCAGGCAGGCAACUGUGUGCCCUUGUGUCAAGCCACAGAGCCUUCCCCCAGCCCCCCAACCCUUCCCGCUCUGAGACAGGGUCUCCUGUAGUGGAGACUGGCUUUAAAUUUCCUGUGUACUCAAGGAUAACUUUCACAUCUCAAGUGCUAGAACAAAAGCAAGUGACACCAUGCCCUGUUUAUGGGAUACUGGGGUUUGAGACCAAGGCUUUGCUCAUGCAAGUACUAUGUCAAACUGAGUUACAUCCCUACUUCCAUUAUUAACUUCCACUUUUUUUGGCUGAAGCCCAAAACAUCUCUCCAUCACAGUUUACAAGAAUCCUACUGCCUACUCCGAGGUCGUGGUGGCACAAGCCUUUGAUCCCAGUACUUAGGAGGCAGAGGCAGGCACAUCUUUGAGUUCGAGGCCUACC